AUUGAACGCUGGCGGCAGGCCUAACACAUGCAAGUCGAACGCGUGGCGGACGGGUGAGUAAUGUCUGGGGAACUGCCCGUUGGAGGGGGAUAACUACUGGAAACGGUAGCUAAUACCGCAUACCAUCGGAUGUGCCCAGAUGGGAUUAGCUAGUAGGUGGGGUAACGGCUCACCUAGGCGACGCUCCCUAGCUGGUCUGAGAGGAUGACCCGACACGCUGGAACUGAGACACGGUCCAGGCUCCUACGGGAGGGAGCAGUUGCGGAUAUUGCACAAGGGGCGAAAGCCUGAUGCGGGGACGCCGAGAAGGGGAUGAAGGCUUUAGGGUUGUAAACCUCUUUCGAUAUCGAACGGGUAGGUGGAGAAGAAGCGCCGGCUAACUACGUGCCAGCAGCCGCGGUAAUAC
rnacentral:rRNA from 1 species